rnacentral:lncRNA from 1 species
AUGGGGGGAGGGGGUAUCCCUAGUGUUCUUAUUUUGCUUACCACGUGUGGUUUUGCUAUCCAUGCCUCACACACAUAUCCUUUAUUAUCCCAAGUAAUCAAGAUGUACCCGAAUUUAGCGAUUUUUCGAAAUGAAAAGAUAAACUGGAGAAAUGUGCACUGGGCUCCUUGUUCAUGUAGCCUUGAAAAAAGCAACAUGUUUCCUAGGGAAAUCUUAGCAGCCUGGCUUGACUGUAAGUGCCGGGAGAAUGAGGAAUGUGCCUUCUCUACCUUCAAAUGCCUGGAAGCCUGCGGUGUGUAUUUUAGUGAAAGCAACUGGAUAAAUGGAGGUGCAGGUGGAUGCUCUCCCAGUCCUUUUCUUACAUUCCUCUAGUGCCAUAUAUUCCCCUGUGAUGACUUUAUCCUCCCCCACCUUUCCUCACAAUCAGUACUCAGCUCCUGGCAUGUACAAUUGGUCUGGCCUAAUUUUUUAGUUUAGUUAUGUGUCCAUUGUACCUUUCUGCCUAGUCACAUGGUAAGCUCUUAGGAGACUGAGGUUCCAUUUAAUUCCCCUUGUCCAUCACUAGACAAUGAACAACACAGAGAGGAGCUGAACCCUCAGUGGACUUCAGAAAAUGAUGCUCACAAUCAGGGAAGAGAAUCAUUAGAGCUGAUCAGUUAUGUUUGGUGAUCCAAGACUUUGUGCACAUCUCAGUCACUGUUCUUCUCCCCCUCAUAAUGACCCCACCCAGAAAACACACAUUUUGUUUAGUUCUGCUGCAGGUGAGUUGGCAAGUGACCAGAGAACUUACUCUUUGAAAGCAAGGUUCCUCGAUAGCAGCCCU